UGUUUUACUGUGUAGUACGUACCAUCAUUACUUCAUGGCAGGACGCACAGGCAGAAGGUAUCAUACGAAACAGAACUAGCUCAUUUGGUCUUAAUUUUUUUGUCUGGUUGUAGUAUAUCCUUGGGGGCAGCUCUAGGAACAGUUAAGAAUAUUGACAGUCUCCAGUUAUCGGCGGACUCGGUUAUCAGUGAUCCGGUUUUGUGGGGCUCUUCUAGUGCCAUAAAAUCGGCGAUUUAUGGCGCCACAACGCUCCGAGUUCCGGUUAUCGGCGCCAAAAGGCGCUGAUAAUAGAGUUAUGGCGCCAUAACAGAUACCUAACAGAGUCGCCGGUAACCGGCUUAUUGUGCCAUAGUACUUCCCUGCGUUUCUGUUAGUGGCAGUUUUCGCUUAUCACCAACACCCUGCCGAGAACUUAACUCCGCCAAUAACUGUGGACUGCCUGUAUUGGCUAAUUGGUGUGGUUAAACCAUUUACUGUUAAUAAUCACCUUUUAAACUAUUUAUUAAUUAAUAUCUACUUGUUGAGAAAAUGAUCAAUAUUUUAAAAAAAUAUUUUCUGUGCAAACUGAAUAAAUAUUUUAACCAAUCUCAUUGAAAACCUAACUAAGGCUCGUUUUGUUUACAUUCCUCUCUCUCUGUCACCCUAGCUCUCAUGAGACAUCUUCAACACCGCAACGAUGAUAAGCAAUGUAUUGAAAGGAAAGUGGUGUUUUAUGAUAUUUGUGGAAAACUGCAGCGUGCAAAUGACGAAAUGCAGGAGUCUGUUGAGAACUUAGAAGUUCAAGUAGAGCACCUCCAAUCCCGGUUAAGGUCAUCACAAGCGUCCUCCCUACCACUCCGUACUGCCAAUCUUUUACAAGACUCAGACGAUGAUCAUGCACAGUUUUAGCGACGGCCUUUGAUGUAAUCGCCAAGAAGAGUAUGUUUAAAAAGUCUAAUGUUAAACGUUGAUUAUAUAGCAUAUUAUUUCAGUAUUCAUCAGAUUGAAAUGGAAGCCUUAAUGAAUUGUAAUUCAUGAAUUAUACCAAACGUUUUUUA